rnacentral:rRNA from 1 species
ACAUGCUUACAACAUAGAGUUAAUGCAUCGUAUCCCAUUAGAACUCCGCAGUUAAGCGCGCUCGGUCUAGAGUAGUAUUGGGAUGGGUGAUUUCUCGGGAAGUACUAGUAUUUUACAUGUC